GGAGGAGGUAUUUUGGGCCUGAAGAGCUUUCCAAUUCCUAUCAAACCAUUCCCCAUAGGCACCUCUCUAAUAAGUAAUAUAUUCUUAAGUGGACUUUCUUUGGUGUGUCAUAUUUUAAGAGAAAAAGACAGUGGUGACCCACUGUGAUGUCAGUUCCAGGAUUAGGGCCCAUUCUUCAAUUCCCCCUGAAAAGAGGAGGGAAAAAAAACCCCUCCCUCUGGCUCACUGUCAGAGUUCCAGUCAGUCUGAGUGUACCAAGCAGACAGACCACCCACAAACUGCAACAAAUAACAACCGUCUCUUCUUCUGAGGCAGUUAUCCACCAUUUCAUCCAAGGGUACCUUCCUGGCUACCUUUAGUUGAUCCUGACUAGGUGGCAUCUUCAUACGGAAAUUUAAUAAAGAUACUGAGC
rnacentral:lncRNA from 1 species